UCCUCUGCUGCAGGCUGCACACCCCCAGCUCCCUCAGCCUCUCCUCACAGGGCUGUGCUCCAGGCCUUUCACCAGCUUCGUUGCCCUUCUCUGGACACAUUCCAGUAUCUCAACACCUCUCUUGAAUUGAAGUCACAGCACCCUGCAUGGAUGAACAAGGCAUAGUGACUGGAUUCUUUUUUUUCGGUGGGACAAAGGCAGUUUUAAGCUCUGAGGCUUUGAAAAAUAGGAGUUCCCUCUAAGAAAAGGAGCCUUUCUGAGCCCUGAGGAAACCUCACUGGGAUAUUUUUGCAGUUCUAUCAGCAUACACAUCCCUCCUGAUUGCUUUAGGAGCACUCAGAUGCUUCUAUGAGGGUUUCCUCCACCAAGCUCAGCCUGCCUGUUCACCACAUCUGAUGUCUGAGAUGGGUUUGGAAAAGGGGAAAUCCUCCUUUGUGCGCUAUCUGAACAGCUAAUAACGAGAGAUACUGGAAGGAGUUUAAAGAAAACGAGUUGCCUUUGCUCUGAACUUCUUGGCUGUUAUCUGUUCGUUUCAACCCUUAGUGGCAUAGCAAGGUCCUGUCACUCAUCUUCGCAGUGCCAGGCUUUCCAUACCAAGUAUUUAGCCCCUUUCUGGGCUUUUUUAAUCACACACACACCUGCUACCUUUAAAAAAAAUAAAAAGGGAAGAAAAAUAUUUGUGCUGAAAAAGUUAACUCACGA